rnacentral:rRNA from 1 species
UUUGACUGGGGCGGUCUCCUCCUAAAGAGUAACGGAGGAGCACGAAGGUUGGCUAAUCCUGGUCGGACAUCAGGAGGUUAGUGCAAUGGCAUAAGCCAGCUUGACUGCGAGCGUGACGGCGCGAGCAGGUGCGAAAGCAGGUCAUAGUGAUCCGGUGGUUCUGAAUGGAAGGGCCAUCGCUCAACGGAUAAAAGGUACUCCGGGGAUAACAGGCUGAUACCGCCCAAGAGUUCAUAUCGACGGCGGUGUUUGGCACCUCGAUGUCGGCUCAUCACAUCCUGGGGCUGAAGUAGGUCCCAAGGGUAUGGCUGUUCGCCAUUUAAAGUGGUACGCGAGCUGGGUUUAGAACGUCGUGAGACAGUUCGGUCCCUAUCUGCCGUGGGCGCUGGAGAACUGAGGGGGGCUGCUCCUAGUACGAGAGGACCGGAGUGGACGCAUCACUGGUGUUCGGGUUGUCAUGCCAAUGGCACUGCCCGGUAGCUAAAUGCGGAAGAG